AUCAAGCUCAAGCCAUCUGACGUGGGGCUGCUUGCUGUGACUGCCAACAAUAUCAUCACCAUAAACAAGGACCAAAACGUGUUUGACUCAAAGAAAAAGGUGAAGCUGACGAAUGCUGAAGGUGUUGAGUACAAGCUGGCAAAGAAACAGCUGCAGGCCAUUGACUUCAACAAAGCCUUGCUGGCCAUGUACACUAACCAGGCUGACCAGUGCAGGAAGCUGUCAUCCAGUCUUCAGGCUCAAAAUCCAGGACAUCCACGGCCAGUCCUUAUCCAGGUGGCUCAGCUGUGCAGAGAGAAGCAGCACAGCAGGGCCAUAGAGCUGCUCCAGCAAUUCUCCGAUCAGAAUCCAGAGAGUGCGUCUGGCAUCAAACUGACAAUGGCACAACUCUAUUUAGUACAAGGU